GGCCGGCGGGCGCAGGCGAAUUUCCGCAGGGAGCGCGGUGAGGAGCCAGCGGUUGGGGUCGGGUCUCCGGGCGUGUGCUCCCCCCGCGGUGAGGGUGAACUAACGGAGGUGGGCGGGCCGGCGCGCCGGGUUAGCAGGCGUUUAUCCUGUAUGGCCGCAGCAGUCAGCGUUCCUCACCAGCACGAGCCCCGCCUGCAGAGCCCUAGGCGGCGGCCAGCAGGAGGCCUCCCGCGGGAACUGUCACUCCGCCAAAAUACUCACAGCAAGAGAGAUAAACAAGCAAAAGUCUAGAAACAAGCCAGCGGUCCAUCUACAGUGGAAAGUGUAAACAAACUGUGAUGUGUUCACGUACUGGAAUUUUACCCUGGCGUGAAAAAUGCACGAACCACAGCUGCAAGCAACAAUAUGGGUUAAUUGUGUGAAUUUCACCAUCCCUGGCUAACUCUCCUUGAAGUAUAAAUAAAGAGAUGAUCAAGCGUCUGCUAGUAGAAGAAAAGAGAGAAGAGGUAUGAAUAAUUCCCAUGUAUUCAGGAUUUGGCCUUCUUCACCCAGUGUGCUGUUGGCUUAGUUUAGUGUGUACCCUCGGGCCCCCUACCCUAUACACAAUAACCAUCUGACAGCCACGGGAAAGCAGGACCCCAGGAAUUCCAAGAUAAGAGACUUGCACAGACAUCUUUAAAGUUCCCUCCCCCGCCCAGGCAGUGUAGACACAAAGACACCUUAUCUCUGACUGAGAGGAAGCGACUUUCCCACCCAGGACCCCGCCGAAUGGCAGGGAGUGAAGCAGGAAGAACACGUGGGCGCUCGUGGCAGGCGAUCCAGGAGGGAGACGGAGCGCGCAGAGGCCCAAGGAGAGGACAGGAUGCAUCCUCGGGCGCACCGCAGACUCCUCCUUGUUGUGAAAGCCCAACGGCCUGAGCAACUCCAGCCCCGUUAAAUGUCUGCCGGCCGAGGACAGGAGCAGGCCCCCACGUGCGGUUCUGGCUGCGCAGGUCCUGCACCAGCCUUGGCACAGGUCAUGGCGAGGAGGCUGCCUGGUUGGGGGGAUGUUCCGACUGGACAACCAGUUCAUAAACUGCCCGAGGAGAGGGCACUGAGAGCUUUGGGAAAUGGAUGCUGAACUUUCAGCACUUUCUACGCUAG